UUGGAGGGCAAGUCUGGUGCCAGCAGCCGCGGUAAUUCCAGCUCCAAUAGCGUAUAUUAAAGUUGUUGCAGUUAAAAAGCUCGUAGUUGAACUUCAGAUCUGGCUGGGCGGUCUGCUUAACGGCAUGUACUGUCUGGCUGGGUCUUACCUCUUGGUGAGCCGGUGUGCCCUUUAUUGGAUGCAUCGGGGAACCAGGACUUUUACCUUGAGAAAAUUAGAGUGUUCAAAGCAGGCCUAUGCCCGAAUACAUUAGCA
rnacentral:rRNA from 1 species